UGGUUCUGGCAUCGAUGAAGAACGCAGCGAAAUGCGAUAAGUAAUGCGAAUUGCAGAAUUCAGUGAGUCAUCGAAUCUUUGAACGCAUAUUGCGCCCUUUGGUAUUCCGAAGGGCAUGCCUGUUCGAGCGUCAUUAUCACCUAUCAAGCCUGGCUUGUUAUUGGACUUUUUGGUUAUAAGACCGGUCUGAAAGAUAGUAGACAAGACCCGAUAGUCUUGGGAUAUAAUAAGCUUUUGAAAGCACAUAUCUGUCGGCCAGCAGGUCCUGUCUUUAAGCCUUAAUUUUCUCAGAUUGACCUCGGAUCAGGUAGGAAUACCCGCUGA
rnacentral:misc_RNA from 1 species